rnacentral:SRP_RNA from 1 species
GCCGGGCGUGGUGGCUCACGCCUGUAAUCCCAGCACUUUGGGAGGCCGAGGCGGGUGGAUCACCUGAGGUCGGGAGUUCAAGACCAGCCUGACCAACAUGGAGAAACCCAGUCUCUA